rnacentral:tRNA from 1 species
GAGGGCAUAGCUCAGUGGUAGAGUGCAUACCUAGCAUGCAUGAGGUCCUGGGUUCAAUUCCCCAGCACCACUA